AAAAAAAAAACCCUCAAGGACCCAAUUCAGACCGACCCCUUCGCCGUCAAGGACUACGAGGUUAUAUGGGAUUGAAUUGCACUCUUACGCAUAGCAGCCUCAUUUGCUGGGGUUGAAUCUUCUUAAGUAAUUGAACUAUUGCUGCCAUCCUUU